UGCUUUCAAAAAUAGGCUCAUACAUCCCCAUGGAGGGAGACCACACAGCAGGCUGCUCGCACAUGUUGUAAGAACCAUACUCAGAAGCACAGGAGAAAAGAGCCAGAAUUAGGACCCUUGAGCCAAAGAGCAGCAGAGCCUCUCAGCUUUGCAGCUUCAGUAGCCACAAUGGUUCCACAACCCACCUCGCUCUGUGAUGUGGUGAACAGUGCUUUCCACGAUGCUGCAGCAGGAGCCCAUGGUGUCCUACAGCUCAGGCGUGCUCACACAUAGAAGGAAGCCAGCAUCUGUGAACUCUUUCUUCAAACCCCUUUAUCGUGGUUGCUUUCAUCCAAGGUGGGACGAAGAUUACAUGAUUUGAAGGACACAGCUUGCAGGUUCUCACAGAAGGGUCGCAGUAGUGAAGCAAGGUAAACGUCCCAUCUGCACCUCGGCCAGCCCAGGCAGCAGCUGUAGGAUGCUAAAAGAGAUCCCUACAAAAAAGAAAAGCCACCAAAAAAAUGUAAUUUCACAGCUGCGUCUCCCCCAAGAAGCAUUAAUGCACCUCACCUUCCUGAGCUCCACCAGGAAAUAGCUGCAAGGAAGGGGUGGAGGAGGAAAAGAGAACCACUUAUGAAGCAUCAGCUGCAGCCUAAUUAAAGCUAUUAGCAAGCUUUUAGUAGUGUUUAUUAGCCGUUCCCAACGUUGCUGAAUGAAGCAAUCCUGACAUCAGCCUUCUGGCUUGUAAAGCUGUGCUCCAGCCCCAGCUGAAGGAAGGUACGGGCUUGGAAAGAUCACACUGGCUGUAAUCACGGCUCUUGUGGUCAUCUCUGAGCAUGGGAGAGGAAGCAGACUU
ensembl:lncRNA